rnacentral:snRNA from 1 species
GUGCUCGCUUCAGCUGCACAUAUACUAAAAUUGGACUAAUACAGAGAAGAUUAGCAUGGCC